GCUUAAUUUCUUCUCACUGGUCACCAAACUCCUUUUCAGGACCUUUUCGUCUAAAGAAAAAUAAAUUCAAUUCAGCGAGAAUAUUUGCAUAAAAAUGACAAAUCAUCUCUGCUGGGAAAUUUCUCUCAAAUUUCUCUCUCUAUUUCUUCAUACAGGAAAAUCCCCUUUUUCAUCGUCUUCUUUGUGAGACCUGCUAAAGUUGAACCUAACAUGGACGCUACUGAUUGGAGAACACAACUUCAACCUGAAUAUCGACAGAGAAUCGUCACUAAGAUAACGGAGAUUCUGAAGAGACACCUUCCAAUUUCUGGUCCGGAGGGAUUGAUAGAGCUUCGAAUAAUAUCGAGGAAAAGAUAUUCACUGUUGCCACAAGUCAGACGAAUGGAGUUGCUAAUUCUUUACCGUUAAGUGGUGGUAGCCAAAAUCCACAAUAUCCAGCGUCUCAAAGUAUGCAGUCUCAAGUGCGCAACCCAGGGCAGUUACAAAUUUCUUUAGCUAACCAGUCUCUAGCAUGGCAGCAGCUGUUGUCCCAGAAAAUUCAGAAUGAUAUCGCAAAUCCUGGAAUUCAAGGACCCAGAUCAUGGUCACAAAUUCAAACUAACCAUUCUAAUGUUGAAUCUAACAUGGACGCUACUGAUUGGAAAACCCUACUUCAACCUGAAUCUCGAACACGCAUAGUCACUAAGAUGGUGGAAAUUCUGAAGAGACACCUUCCAUUUACUGGCCCUGAGGGAUUGGUAGAGCUUGAUAAACUUGCUGUAAGAUUCGAAGAAAAGAUUUUUACUGCUGCUGCUGCAAGCCAGGUAUAUCAUUCAAUGUGGUGCGCCAGUGUUACUGCUUGACUAGUUUUUUCUACUGAUAUGCUCUUAUUUUCACUUCAUAUAAUUAACCCAUGAAGUACCUAGUUGCUAAGUCUGCGAGAUUUUGAUUGAUUAAAAUUGAAAAUGCGACAUUGUUAUGUGCUCAUGCUUCAUCGGUGCGUUUUGGGAGAGUUGCGAGUAUGUGGGCACAAAUAUUUCACCGCUUAAAGGCAUUAUAAAGUAGUUAGUAUAGGAACUAGAAGCAAAUGGGGAUCUUUUCUAAUUUAGAGUUACACUUACUGCGUGACUAACCUGAGACGUGAGCUAUACGAGAGAUAAAUUGUUUAACAUUACAAGUGAGCAUUAUAUUCACGUGUUUCACCUUGAAUUGUUAAAUUACUCAGAAAUUCUUAGUUUUUGUGGAAGAGAGACAGAGUACUUGAACCUUCUUUGCUGUUCUUUAAUUAUUAAGAUCGAUAACGGAGUUGUGGGAGACUUUGGGGACACAUAAAUGAUAAAUUGAGUUUGGGACUGUGGAAUUGUUCUUGGAGAUGUUCAAGCCAUUUUUGCCAUAGUGUUCUUCUGAGAGGUACGAAUCUGCUCAUUGUUAAUUUUCGGUUACAAAUCUUUAGGUGUAUUUGACAUGAAGAUGAAGUACAAAUGCCCUAUCAUAUCCAGUUAGAUAUUACCACCUUUUACGUUAACAUUUAUGAAACAUGAAGUACUCUGUACAUAUACCUUUCUAGUUUACACAAACCUCUUGCAGUACUAAUUGAGUUAUUUGGAGCUGAAGUCUUGAAAGUUACUUGAGCUGUGCUUGUUACCCGAUGUCCCAUUGGGGACAGUACUUAAUCUCCUGCGGGACCUGGCUGAGUCUGAGAAGGGUAUUUAUGCUUCUAUUACAGUAAUGUGUCGGAAGGAUUUGAUGUUAUUAGUUAUCAGUAAGGUAUAAUUUCCUAAGAUCUGGUAAAUACUUUUCUCUUUCUUUGCACCCGUCCUCUGGGUUUUAGGAGGUUAUAAUCUUUAAGCAGUAGCAGCGAUAAGGUGUCACAUUAGAGUAAUAGAUGAUGUGCUAACAGAGCAAAAUCAUGUAAUGAAUACAGUUUGGAUGAUCAACAUAUAAAAUUAUCUUUCGUUGAGAACUGGGUACCAGUGCAUCUUAUGUAAAUCAUGUUUGCCGAUGUAUCAUGAUCUCUGCACCAUAUAUUUGUUUGUAUAUUUACUCAUUGAACUUCUUUUUAACAUGCAACAC